ensembl:lncRNA
GAGUUCCCAAAGUUGACUGUCAGGUCCUGGGUAAGCGAAUCUUUUCCGGGAAAGAGAAGUAGUUCAGUCUUGUCGGGGUUGAUUUUCAGAUGGUGGGCGGACAUCCACUGAGAGAUGUCAGUUAGACAGGCAGAGAUCCGAGCCGCCACCUGGGUGUCCGAGUGAGGGAAGGAGAGAAUUAGUUGGGUGUCAUCGGCAUAGCUGUGGUAAGAGAAGCCAUGCGAGCGAAUGACAGCGCCAAGAGAGUUGGUGUAAAGCGAAAACAGGAGGGGACCCAGCACGGAACCCUGAGGAACUUCAGUAGUAAGAGGACAAGGUUCCGACACAGAUCCUCGCCAGGUUACCCGGUAGGUGCGGCCAUCGAGGUAGGACGAGAUUAUGAUCAUAAAAUAAAAUAGAAAUCUGCUAUUGAGGUGAGAAAAGAGUACAAAUGUGUGUAAUAAUCAUUAGUAUAAGGUUUGCUGUCUGAGAGGUUUAAUAUCUUUAAUUUGUCUUUGUGUCAUUUACGAGCUCCGUCUCCUCCAAACAUAACGCAACUUGCAAGGAUGAUUGAGUCAUUCAUUAAAUACAAUUUGAAAGGCAAUUUGUUGGUCCUUUAUUUGUUCUGUAAAGUCCAGUUUAACAACGUUUUUACAGAGAAUAUUCAGUCAUGAGAUUCAUUAAUGAUGAAACUCCAGAUGUUGUUGUUGUGUCUGUUCGUCCUCAGCUCUGCUCCUCCGUCAGUGGACACGAUGCCUUUGUCUCCAUCCACGGAGCGAAAGACGCGUAGGAGCAAGUGACGUGAUGGACGAGGACCAACGCCGACGGCAGGUCGCUUUUCACUGAAUAGAACCAACAAAAGAACUCUCGAGCCUCCGUUAAUUACGAAGCGUUCCGGUCGAUUACCUCAUGAAGCCGAAAGAAUGCGAAGCUGCAUCGAAGCAAAACAUCAAAGUGAUUCUGGUUUGUUUAACACACAGUCUCAUGUGCUUUGUAUUAAUCUACAAUGAAGGAACAAAUGGACCACCUCCCGCGCUACGACUCCCCCACCGGCCGCAUAGACUCCGCCAACAAAGACUUUGAGGUCUAUGUGCGUGUCGGCGGUCCACAAAGGAUUCCUAAAUACCUUCUCCUCCUGCAGGGCCUGAAGGACGACGUGGAGGAGGACACCCUGCUGGGGACGUUCACAUACGAGUAGCACGGAGGAGCCACGCAGACGUUCCAGCUGCCGCUUCCUGUCCUGUGGGUCGUGUGAGAUGCAUGUACUGAUAAAAUAUAUUAUAACAUUGUUUUGUGCUAAAGCCGUGUCUCAAGUGUCCCGUAUUUGACCCUGAAGUGCAAAGAGCAGCAUGAUACAAAAUGUUGCUUUGCAGCUGUGUCCUGAGAAGGGAGGACGGUCAACUUGAUCUCAUAGAAGCUUCAAAACAAAGGACUUCUGUUCAUGGCCUUGGUUCAUAUCUUAUUCGGUACGAAAAUUCCGGAUCCACGUUUUUACUUUAUGUCAAUUAAUAAUGAUUUCCAGCGGCCACUGAGGAGGAUCUUGUGUGUGUGUGUGCUGCCCUCAGCUUCACCUGGGUUCUUAUCUCAACCUGCUUUGUAGCUUCUCGUAACUGGCACGGAGAAUGUUCUUCACGUGUGUAUAAAAACUCAGCGUUUUCACUGCUCGGAGACGUCAUUACGCCGAGCGCUGAGAUACGUGCUGGUGUGUUGGACCUCCUGCUUGCAAGCAAUAGUUAGAGCCAGAUGUCUGCGGAGAAUUGCUCAUGUAAUCUUUUUCUCUUCUAAAUUUAUGUUUGAAUAAAUGUUCAAAACAAGGUAAGCAGAAACCUGUUACAUCUAUUUCUGCAUAUUGCAUAAGCUAAAGUAAGGAGUACGUUGUGGAUUGGUGGUGUAAGAGCCAAAUUAAUAUUAUUCUCUAAAAAAAGAAAAAAGAAAAGAAUUUAAAAAAAUUGCAGCAUGGGGUUUGAACACCGCCGAGUGUUGGUUUGCGUACCGCCGGAUACGGGAAAAGUACUGCAGUGCUUAAGGUCUGGAAUCCAAAAAAGAAGUGAUUACUGUUGUUUAGUGGGUACCUGGGUGUACCAUCAAAGGAAAGGAAUCAAAGGAAUCGAAGGGCGCUGAAGAUUGGGAAUAAAUAAAUUAACUAUGGUUUAGUGGAUACCUGCGAGUAUCAAGGGAUUGAAAAUCUGACAUAAAUGAAGGGAAUUGAUUCAGAAUCAAUAUCCUGGUCUCUGGUUUGGCAACCCCUUCAGACACUGACGAGGGCCGAUUUCGCGAGGUGUGGGCUCCUGGGGAUCUGGGGACCCCGAAGGUCUGCGGGCUGGUCACCAGGGUUAGAGAGUUCCUUAAAAACCGUAUGUUCGAUUCCUAGACUUGUGCAGCCCUUCCAGAGGUGCUGGGAUACAGUAAAAUAAACAGCGCGCUUUGUGUGGAGGGGGAGAGAGAGGAGUGAUUUAAUAAAUAAAUAAAUGUGUGGAGAAAUGCACUUAAAGAAAUAAGUUUUGGAAGUACGUUCUAAGGAAUUGAGAACGCAGACAGACCGCAAGGUUAAAGCAUAAACUUGCGGCUUUAAUAAUUGAGUCUGAGAGGUUAACAUAAACUCAAAGACGCAUACGUUUCGCCACAAGUCCCAGUGAAUCUUAUGGGAAGGGAUCUUCUCAUUAAAACGGGAGCUUCGACCUUGUGCAGCCCUGAUGGACUAAGCGUCACCAUGAUGGAUGGAACGGUUCUGCAUUGCAAUGACAACGAGUGGUCAGUGGGUGGUGCAGCCACUGCAGCAACAACAACAAUAUGCAGACAUUUAUUGGGGGCUCCUGAAGCCUGAUGUCCUGAUGUCCCAGGGGUUAUGACUCUUUACCAAAAGUGGAAGCCUUGGAUAACUCUUCUUGAUCCUUAUGUUCCUCCUUCAGAUCCUCCUCAUGUAACAUUGUUUUAUGAUAGACAAGGGGAUGAGUGCUAUUGUGACAAAUUCAUGGAACAUUUAGAAAACACGGAAUCGGAGCCUCAGCUGUCAUCCUCUCCUCCUGUCAAUCAAAAUGGUAUUUAAUGAACCAAAAUGCAGUGCCGCAUGUGUCAUUGGCUCUGCAUCCCAAACAUCAGGCUAAAGACGGGCGCUGCUGCUAGACGACUGGGUAGGCACUCAACUGCCUGAUAUUUGUUUUUCUCCCUCCGCUAGAAUGUACAGGAUUACAGGGAAAGCAACUAACUC